UACGGAGGGAGCUAGCGUUGUUCGGAAUUACUGGGCGUAAAGGGCGCGUAGGCGGUCUUGUAAGUCGGGUGUGAAAUUCCGGGGCUCAACCCCGAGAACUGCAUCCGAUACUGCUCGACUUGAGAGAGGUAGGGGCGAGUGGAAUUCCCGGUGUAGCGGUGGAAUGCGUAGAUAUCGGGAAGAACACCGGUGGCGAAGGCGGCUCGCUUGGACCUUUCUGACGCUGAAGCGCAGAAGCGUGGGGAGCAAACAGGAUUAGAUACCCGCGUA
rnacentral:rRNA from 1 species